AAGCUAUUGAGUGGUAAAGACCAGGUGAAAGGCCUUCAGACUCCUGCAGCAGCAGUUGAGAAUGAGACCAGCCCUGUUCCUAUGACGUUAAAUGAUGGACCAAUCCCAGAUGAUCCCUGGACACAGGUGAAAGGCCUUCAGACUCCUGCAGCAGCAGUUGAGAAUGAGACCAGCCCUGUUCCUAUGACGUUAAAUGAUGG